UUUCGGCGUCGGCCUCGGUGCGCGGCGAGCGCGCGCGGACUGCGCACAGGCGGCGGAGCCGGUAUGGGCCCGCCUGGCCUUGGGCGCCCCGCCGCACAAGCACCAACCUAGAGCCAGGACUGAAGCUUCAAGAUGGCUGACCAGGACCCUGCGGGCAUCAGCCCUCUCCAGCAAAUGGUAGCCUCAGGCGCCGGGGCUGUGGUCACCUCCCUCUUCAUGACACCCCUGGACGUGGUGAAGGUUCGCUUGCAGUCUCAGCGGCCCUCCAUGGCCAGCGUGCCCUCCUCUCUCCAAUCCACAGGGAAGUGCCUCCUGUACUGCAAUGGUGUCCUGGAGCCUCUGUACCUGUGCCCAAAUGGUGCCCGCUGUGCCACCUGGUUUCAAGACCCUACCCGCUUCACUGGCACCAUGGAUGCCUUCGUGAAGAUCGUGAGGCACGAGGGCACCAGGACCCUCUGGAGCGGCCUUCCCGCCACCCUAGUGAUGACUGUGCCAGCUACCGCCAUCUACUUCACUGCCUACGACCAACUGAAGGCCUUCCUGUGUGGUCGAGCCCUGACCUCUGACCUCUACGCACCCAUGGUGGCUGGCGCGCUGGCCCGCCGUGAGCAUAAUCUUGGGCCUUUGACCUCCCUCUGUCCCCACCUCUGCCCAAGCCCAGUCAGUCCCAGCUCCCAGCCCCAACCUCUGCCAGCCUGGGGGUGGGGGGGUGUUCUAGGUCCCCAGACCUGGGGCAGCAGGUAGGUGAUGCCAUGUAAGACCUGUGACCUCACUUCUCCCCAUUGUCACCCCCAAUCCCCGCACAGUGGGCACCGUGACUGUGAUUAGCCCCCUGGAGCUUAUGCGGACAAAGCUGCAGGCUCAGCAUGUAUCAUACCGGGAGCUGGGUGCCUGUGUUCGAACUGCGGUGGCUCAGGGUGGCUGGCGCUCACUGUGGCUGGGCUGGGGCCCCACUGCCCUUCGAGAUGUGCCCUUCUCAGGUAGGCACCCAGGCUGCAGGGCGUGGGUGAGGGAACCCUGGGGUGAUGCACAAAGGGUCUACGGCCAAGUCCCAGCUUUGUGACUAGUGACCAUGAAGUUACUUAGCUUUUCUGAGCCGUGGGUUUCUCAUUUGUGAAGUGGGCGUAGCAGGUAGAGUACUUGCCUAGGUGGUCAGGAGAUUCAUUCCUACAGAGUGCCUGCUUCCGACCCUGCACGUAGCAGACAAGACUCACAGCUGGGAGGGAGUGGUGGCAGUGAAAGAUGGAAGAUCUGGGGCCACUUCCUUGCCAUUCCCAUCUCUAAUCAGUGCAUCCCCCACCCCAAGCCCUGUACUGGUUCAACUAUGAGCUGGUGAAGAGCUGGCUCAGUGGGCUCAGGCCGAAGGACCAGACUUCUGUGGGCAUGAGCUUUGUGGCUGGUGGCAUCUC
rnacentral:sRNA from 1 species